rnacentral:lncRNA from 1 species
GACUGAUGGUGCACAGCGCCUUUGAAAAUAAAAAAGUACAGAAUCGCAAGAGUGUGAUAAGACAUCCACUACGAGAAAAACAGCACAUGAGCCGGUUAUUGAAUCUUCUAGUUUCUUCAUUCCACUGCACUUAGAGGGAGGACACAGGCAGACGCCGUGGCUCCAGGAGCUCUCCCCCGCCCUGCCCCCAGGUCCCCCAGGUUUGUGUGGGUUGUUAGGGGGGGUCCCUGGGGACACCCACUCUUCCCAUUAGCAGAGAACCAGGCUGGGCACGCACCACGGCUCCACUAAUAUUUGCUCUAUUGGAUCACAAAGCUGAGUAAUCGCCAUUUAAGAUGCAAGUAAUGCUCAGGCGCUGAGGCCUUUGGCCUGCCUCCCCAUCAACCAGGGAGAAAGGAAUCACCAAGCCUCAGUCUGGGCAAGUGGGAGGUCAGCUUGCUUGAAGCCCACUUUGCCGCCCCCACCCUUGCUGUUGCGCUCCUGGCACUUCUGCCCAUGGUGGUCCCAUCUCUCUGGAGUGAGCCUGAAUAAUCCCAGCGCUCUAGGAGGCAGAGGCAGGAUGAUUUUGAGUUCAAGCCUACCCCGAGCAAUUUAGCAACUUUAGCGAGAUGUCCCCCAAAAUAAAAGUGGGUGGGGAUGUAGUUCAGUGUGAAAGCCUUGGUUCAGCUCCCCAGACUACAAAGAAGC